rnacentral:rRNA from 1 species
CUUCGGGUCUAGCGGCGGACGGGUGAGUAACGCGUGGGAACGUGCCCUCUUCUUCGGAAUAGCCCUGGGAAACUGGGAGUAAUGCCGAAUACGCCGAGCUAUAGAGAUAUGGCUUGGGAAAGAUUUAUCGGAGGAGGAUCGGCCCGCGUUGGAUUAGGUAGUUGGUGGGGUAAUGGCCUACCAAGCCGACGAUCCAUAGCUGGUUUGAGAGGAUGACCAGCCACACUGGGACUGAGACACGGCCCAGACUCCUACGGGAGGCAGCAGUGGGGAAUCUUGGACAAUGGGGGCAACCCUGAUCCAGCCAUGCCGCGUGAUCGAUGAAGGCCUUAGGG